UUUCACACAUAUUUCAAAACAUGUUUUUCAAAUUCCUGUCAAGAGAUGGUGGUGAACCUAACAAUGGUUGUUAACAUGGAUUCUGUCAGGAGAUUAUGGUGAGCCCAACAGUGGUAGUUGAUGUGGGACACUGCUGGAAUAUAGGUAACUGAUGUGGUAAGUUUAAAUCACAGCAAGUCUACUUGAUUUUCCUAUAUCUAGGUAAGUGAUUAAUGAUGUCCCAAAUACUUGUUACUGUGUUUGUUUCUUUUUUCUUUAUGUAUUCAGUGAUGAAAAGUUCUUACUAGUAAUAGAACCCAUGAGUUCUUUCUUUUUACCUUUUAGGGAAAAUUUCUUUAACUUUGUGAGUAUUGAGGGAUUGUCACAGUAAUUACCAUUGUGUUUCCCACUGCAUUCGUAAUCAUGGGAUCUUUGCAGUUAUCCAGUCAAGAAAUUAUGGUCUUAUCUGAAAUGGUGUUUACCUUGAUGUACUACAAAUAUUCAAGUAGAGAUGAUGUGUCCAGUAAUAUUGGAAGUAACUAAGGUUAGUUGACAGCAUCCUCAUAGAAAAUAAAUUGUGUCCUUUAACAUGUAUUUUCUAAAGUGUUUUUCAUGUUCCUGUCAAGAGAGCAUGGGGAACCUAAAGACGGUGGUUAACAUGGGACGUUGCUGGUGUCCAGGUAAGUGAUGAUGUGAGCCAUAGUGGUAUUGUUGGCUUCUACUUAGUGUUGUCAGCUUUUGUUUUUUUUUAAAGUAUUCAAGUACGAAAUGAUAAUCUCGUUACUGUUACUAUUAACUAUGUUGUUUGUUUUAUAUAUUAAUGUAAACUUAUGUUUAGCCUAGUGAGUGUUGGAUUUGCAGAAAUCUAAGUAAUUCUUAUGAUGUCCUGCUUGUCAGAUGUAACCCCGGGACUUCUGGAAGUGUGCAGUGAACAGAAAGUGUUUUCACUAACAGUAGUGCAGACCAUAGAAUACUACAAGUAAUCAGGUAGAAUUGAUGGGUCCUGCAAUGGAGGAAGCCACCAACUUUGUCCAUAGCUGUUCAGGAGGAAAAAAUUGUGUGCAUAGGAACAUUUGUAAAAAUUUGUUCUUCAGGUUUCAGUCCAGAGAACAUGAUGAACUUCAAAAUGGUCAUUCACAGGGAUUCACCUGGUGCCCAGGUAAGUGCUGAUGUGAGCCUAAACCACAGUACAGGCCAUCUGAUCUUAGGCCAUCUGAUCUUCAUGUAUAUAGGUAAUGAUGGUGUCACAUUUUUUUGACUAUGUGUUUAUCGCAACUAUUCAGCUAAGCAUGAGAUAGCCCUUAACAAUAUGAGGAACCAUGAAUUUUCACUUUUUUAUUCUGUAGAGAAUGUAUGCUCAACCCUUUUAGUGAUGAAGAACUGCACAUGUCUAGAUAACUAUCGUGGUGCUCCUCCUCCACUAGUAGCCAUGGGAAUUUUGAGAUUAUAGUCAGGAAAUGAUGUUUUUAUCUGGCAACAGCACUUCCUUGGAGUACUUCAGAUAUUCAGAUGCCUAUCCAGAGAUCACAAAGGACCUAAAUAUGUUUGUUAACAGGAGACGUUGCUGGUGUCCAGAUAUGUCUUCAAGAGAUGAAGGAGUUUCUUACCUUGGUUUGAACUUGGAAUUCAGCAGGCAUCCAGGUAGCAUGGAUGGGUCCUGAAAUGAUACAGGUGACCAAAGGACUUUGCAGGUGUUCAGGUAUCUGAAGAUACUUACCAAGCACAUUUUCCACAAUACCAGAUGCAUUUUCCACAAUGUGUUUUUCAGAUCCAAGUCAAGACAUCAUAGUGAGUCUGUGAAAGGUAAUCAGGGAGUCUGUGAAAGAUGGGAUGUUGCCGGUAUCAAGGCAAGAGAUGGUGUGGGACAAAAGCACAGCACAGCACAGCCCAUCUGAUCAUCAUGUGCAUAGGUAAGUGAUGACAGCGCCCCAAGCACUUCUUUAUUGCCUUUUCCAUGAUUUUUUGGCAGGGGUUCAGGAAAAAAAUCAUAGAACCUGUAUCAAUUCUAGAAACCGUGAGUCUUUACUUUUCAUAUAUUAGGGAACAUGUAUGGCAGACUCUUUGAGUUUGAGGGAUUGCAUGUAUCCAGGCAAUGAUCAUGGUGAUUUUCACUACAGUAGAAACCACGUAAUUUUUUAGGCUUCCUCUCAAGAAAUGAUAGUUUGAUAUGACAACAGUGUUGUCCUUGGAAUACUGCAAAUGUCCAGGUACAGAUGAUUUGUCUCAUAAGGACGGAACUCUGCAAGGUUAUUUGCAAGUGUCCUCCUGGAAAACAUGGCAUCCUUUAACACAUAUUCACAUUGUGUUUCAGGUUCCUGUGAACUGAUUGUUAUGAAACUAAAAGUGGAUGUUAAUAAAAACAUUUCUGCUCUAAGUAAGUGAUGAUGCACACCCUAACCAAUCAUGAAUCAUCUGAUUUUUAUAUAUCUAGGUAAGUUUUACCAUUUGAUUUUUGGUACGUAGUCAGGCAAAACAUGAUAGCAUUUUAUUAAUUCUAGCAGACGUGUUAAUCCAGAGUUUGUAUUUCACAGAAAAUUUACAUUUAACCAGGUGAGUGGUCAAUGAUUUCCAUGUGUCCUUGAAAAUAUCUUGUGGCUCCCCAUCAGGGUAGCAACCAUGGGAUAUUAUCAGCUGUGCAGUUAUCACCACCCAUGAUGGUGUCUCUAACAAAGAUAUGUUGACCUUGAAUUGAAGCAAGUAUCUAGGUAGAGUUGAUGUGUAUUCCAAAAUAAUGGAAGCAUACAAGGUUGUAGGCAAGUGCCCGGGGAGAACAAGUUGUGACCUUAAACACAUUUGUCUUAUAUGAUGUUUCAGGUUCUUGUCAAAACUAUGAGGUGAAUCACAUAAUGCUCAGUAAUGAAACAUUGCUUGUAAACAGGUAGUGAUAACUGUUUGCGUCCUGUAAUGGGGGUAAUUACACAAUGCAGAGCGUUGGAUUUUCUAGGUAGGUAAAAAGGGAUCCCUAAUGCUUAAGCUACUGUGUAUUUUGUAGGUAAUCCAUUCAGGUUUUUGGGCUAGUAUACAGCUACCAGAUAAGGUUGUAUUAACAUGUAAAACACCUUGGUAUUUUCGGAUAUCAACUUUAUUAAUGUUUUACACAAUAUUAACUUAAACUUGUUUUUCACAUUUAUGCAGUUAAAAAUAAAUAUGCCUCUAGUAAUACAAAUAAUCAAGAGAAUUUAUUGCAUGUCUUGACAGAUAAUGAGUAUUGAACACUUACAGAGCUACACAAAUCCACAGGCAUCUGGAUUAACAGUAUUGUCCAAAACCAUGAAAUUAACAACUGGAAUUAUGCAGGGAUCUAAUCAAGAAAGUACAAGGAUUCUUAAAAGGCGUUUUCCUCAAAUUUCUACAAGUAUUGAGGUACCUUUGAUGAUUACAAAAAUAAUAAAAGGGACCAGAAAAGAUUGGAGGUAUAUAGGUAGAAUGAUACGUGUACCAGUCACACUGUUCACAAUAUAUAUUUCAGAUUUACAUUAACAUAUCGCAGCAAGCCUGUCAAAGCUAGGUAACAUGGGACAUUGCUGGCAGAGGUAAGUGCUGAUGCGGGCCUUAACUACAGCCCGCAGCGUGGGACUGUCACAGAGACUAGUUCAGUGAUGAUGUGUCCCUAAACGUCAUCCCGC
rnacentral:lncRNA from 1 species